rnacentral:rRNA from 1 species
CGUAGGGUGCAAGCGUUAAUCGGAAUUACUGGGCGUAAAGCGUGCGCAGGCGGUUGUGCAAGACAGGUGUGAAAUCCCCGGGCUUAACCUGGGAACUGCACUCGUGACUGCACAGCUGGAGUGCGGCAGAGGGGGAUGGAAUUCCGCGUGUAGCAGUGAAAUGCGUAGAUAUGCGGAGGAACACCGAUGGCGAAGGCAAUCCCCUGGGCCUGCACUGACGCUCAUGCACGAAAGCGUGGGGAGCAAACAGGAUUAGAUACCCUGGUAGUCCACGCCCUAAACGAUGUCAACUGGUUGUUGGACGGCUUGCUGUUCAGUAACGUAGCUAACGCGUGAAGUUGACCGCCUGGGGAGUACGGCCGCAAGGUUG